AUUGAACGCUGGCGGCAGGCCUAACACAUGCAAGUCGAGCGAGCGGCGGACGGGUGAGUAAGGUCUGGGAAACUGCCUGAUGGAGGGGGAUAACUACUGGAAACGGUAGCUAAUACCGCAUACCAUCAGAUGUGCUCAGAUGGGCUUAGCUAGUAGGUGGGGUAACGGCUCACCUAGGCGACGAUCCCUAGCUGGUCUGACAGGAUGACCAGCCAAACUGGAACUGAGACACGGUCCAGACUCCUACGGGAGGCAGCAGUGGGGAAUAUUGCACAAUGGGCGCAAGCCUGACGCAGCCAUGCCGCGUGUGUGAAGAAGGCCUUCGGGUUGUAAAGCACUUUCAGCGGGGAGGCGUUACCCGCAGAAGAAGCACCGGCUAACUCCGUGCCAGCAGCCGCGGUAAUAC
rnacentral:rRNA from 1 species